rnacentral:rRNA from 1 species
UAAGUUGACCGCCUGGGGAGUACGGUAGCAAGACUAACACUCAAAAGAAUUGACGGGGGCCCGCACUAGCGGUGGAGCAUGUGGCUUAAUUUGAUGCAACGCGAAGAACCUUACCUGGCCUUGACAUAGUGGGGACUUUCCAGAGAUGGAUUGGUGCCUUCGGGAACUUACAUACAGGUGCUGCAUGGAAGUCGUCAGCUCGUGUCGUGAGAUGUUGGGUUAAGUCCCGCAACGAGCGCAACCCUUUUCCUUAUUUGCCAGCGAGUAAUGUCGGGAACUUUAAGGAUACUGCCAGUGACAAACUGGAGGAAGGCGGGGACGACGUCAAGUCAUCAUGGCCCUUACGGCCAGGGCUACACACGUGCUACAAUGGUCGGUACAAAGGGUUGCUACCUAGCGAUAGGAUGCUAAUCUCAAAAAGCCGAUCGUAGUCCGGAUUGGAGUCUGCAACUCGACUCCAUGAAGUCGGAAUCGCUAGUAAUCGCGGAUCAGAAUGCCGCGGUGAAUACGUUCCCGGGCCUUGUACACACCGCCCGUCACACCAUGGGAGUUUGUUGCACCAGAAGUAGCUAGCCUAACUGCAAAGAGGGCGGGUACCCACGGGGCUGA